AUGCGUGAGCUGCAUAUGAACUUCGACACCGAAAUGCCAUGGUUUCAGAUGGAGCGACCAGAGCAACUGGCUCCUCGGCUGAAGAACCUGAGGAUUCUGAAGCUCGACAACAUCAAUGAAGAAUGCGGCGUCACUUGGACACUGUUCCUGCUGGAAGCUGCGCCUCUCUUGGAGAAGCUCCACAUCAAGGUGUCGAACCACGAGUGUGAAUCCUUCGAGGAUGGGAUGCUAAGGAAACUUCUGGUCGUCGCGACAAGUAACAUCGAGUUCGAACCAUCUGACUUCAAGCAUUAUAAGCUGGCCGUGCUCACCAUCUACGGCUUUCAGCCCAGCGAUAUGUUCAUGCAGUAUAUGAGACGGGUGAUGGAAGCGGCUGUCAAUUUGGAAGAGAUAUCUCUGCAUGACCACUGGUGCGAAGAGUGCGACUUUUAUCCAUUGACAAGGUAUCCCAAGACCGACCAAGACAGAGAAUUGAUACGGGAGGAGAUCAAUAGAGGGAGGCCGUCCCCUAUGAAGACCAUCCAAGUUUUAUUCAGUGAUACCAAGUAUAGAACCGAUGACUGA
rnacentral:rRNA from 1 species